CGGAAAAAAUAAAAACGCUACAUGUCGUGAUUAUUCCGCUGCGGAUAUUCCGCAAGUGUGACACCAGCCUUAAUUAUUAUCUAUAUCUGUGUAGUCGCCUUUUAAACGAAUUUCCUCCUAUAAGCCAUAGAUUUGUUACGGACCACGUACUGUCCGUACUGAUAUUACAUAUAAGAUGGUGUGAUGACACAUUUUUACAUAUAGACUAUAGUAAUUAAUACAGGCAUGCGAGGACAAGAGAGUGUGGAAUAUCUUAUGAAUAAAAUAAUUUAACAAUUAAAGUAGAAAUAAUACGUCUCUUUGAUAGGUAAGUCAAAACUCGAUGUCUCUUCGUAAGAAUCGUGUAUAAGAAUGCACAAGCAGUAUUUUCGAUACCCACUCCUAUAUUAUGACAAUCACAUAAAAGGAAGGUAGAGACAAGGCUCGGCAUACGUUAAGACGGUUGGGAAUAUUACAACACUCAGAAGCACACAACUCAGGUCGUAACGCCACUCAAAUUCUAUUUCAUAUUAAGCCUAUAUAGGUAUUUGUAAUCGUGUAAAUUAUCAUUUCAAUAAACAUUUUAAUUUUUAAUAUACACCACGACGUAUUCAUUCCGCACGUUGAUGUACAAUAUAUCGACCGAUCGGGACGCAACAGAUCUAUCUUUAGACGACGUGCCUUCAUUAAUUGAUUAAAUUUAUAAAAUAUUAUUCUUAAAUAGGUGUAUAGGACAUAGAUAGGUAUAUCAGUGACAAGAAGUUCCCUUCAUUGUUUUUAAAAAUAAACCUAAGGCUUAGACUGUAUAAUAUAUUUUAUUAAUUAAAAGUUUUGGUUUACUAUACAUUAUUUUUUGGGCGAUGUACUGAACAAUAAUAAUAAUAUUACCUAUGAUGUUUUUCUGCAGUACAUAUACCUAUAUUUGUUGUUUUCUAAAAACGAUUACGUCUUUUGGGAUUUUCUGUUUAUAAAUUCCUUAUCGACAUUCGACACGACUUACGGCGUACGAUGACUGCCGAAGUGCCGCGCCGAGGCUAUCGCAGUACCUAUUACGUAAUCGCUCGUUAGUACUCGUUACACGUUAGCCUAAUCGUUGCCAAAUACUAAUUAUUGGCCAUGUUUAAACCAUCGUUUCACCACGGUGAGUACACGGCGGACCAUUUUUGGCUUUAUAUUAGAAUACUACUAAUGCAGAUCAAAAAAUGGACUGUUGGAAUUUACAUGUUAUAAAUUCGACCUAAAAUCGGUGAAUCAAUAAACAAAUUGUGGAGAUAAGAAACAGUUCAUAAUUGUCCAGGCUUGUCAUUACACAAUUCAGUUUGGCAUCAUCUGCAAUGGAGGUAACGAUAGCAAUUAGUGGGUUCAGCUGCUUGUUCGACAUCCAUCACGAUCAUAGCAAACAUUUCUGAUACAUAAUAAUAUGUAUUCUGAAUUCGAAUUGUUCUUCAACAUGUUAAUUGGUCGUGCUCAUAGUGGGGAGAGGUUAUAUUAUACCACUCUUUAGUAUAUAUAUUUUAUUGACUAACUAAAUUGAAAAAACUAUAUAAUUUAUUGUUAAAAAUUUCAUGUAUUCAUCACAAUUUUUCUUUGUCAUUUUUAAUUAUUUAUAUAUUUCAGUUAAAUUUAUUGAUACAAUAAAAUAUAUGAUAAAGUAAUACAAAUA